GCAGGCCCGUUGGCCAGCUAUAUACACGGACAUUUGCAUCACGAUUUAUUAGACCCAAACCGGCCUCCCGUUUGAUCGAUCCCUUCUGUUGUCGUCCAGAACCGUCUCAGACAGCUCGGUUUCUCGCCUCAUGGCCGGGGCCAGAUCCGCGGCGCUGCUAGUGCUCACGCUGCUCUUGGUUUGCGCGGCGGCCGCUGCUCCGGCGAGGAAGAGCAAGGGCAAGGUCGGUGGGUCAGGGCGAGCGGAGGCGGAGGCGGGGUGCCGGGAUCUGACGACGCGCGACGACUGCGUGGCGAGCGGCGGCGGGAGCAUUUGCCGGUGGUGCCGCAGCGAGGCGCUCGACGACAUGUGCUUUGGCGCAUCGGAAGCAUGGGGGCUCCCGGACCAGAUCUUCUCCUGCGACUCGCCCGCCGCUGCCACACAUGCCAGCAGAUAGCGCCGCUGAUCUGCUCUCCCCUUUCCUGGGAUCACUGUAUUCGACUCACCGGAUCUGAGAUUUACUAGGAGAGUUUCGUGGUGUCGCUGUGUUAUUGGUUUGAUUUGUGCAAAUCGUGAUCGGUUGUAUGUUGCUCGUUUCCGAAGUUGUAAUGCUAUAUCCAUUCAUUUCCUUAUGCUCGUUAUGAAUUUUCCGAAUCAAAAGGGCACAUAGACAACAUUUUCAGAUUCAGUCUGACUCAAUUCAGGUUAGCUGUACUGAUGAUCGGUGCUGAAGUGCCGGCAAUACCACCAGUAAUGAGAAGGUUUACGUUUGGUCU